AGCGAACGCUGGCGGCAUGCCUAACACAUGCAAGUCGCACGGGGGGGCUUCGGCCUCCCAGUGGCGGACGGGUGAGGAACGCGUAGGGACCUGUCGAGGGGUGGGGGAUAACCGCGGGAAACUGCGGCUAAUACCGCAUGACGCCGCGGCGUGACAGCCGGGGCCAAAGGCGAGAGCCGCCCGCCGAGGGGCCUGCGUCCGAUUAGCUGGUUGGCGGGGUAGCGGCCCACCAAGGCGUCGAUCGGUAGCUGGGCUGAGAGGGUGAUCAGCCACACCGGGACUGAGACACGGCCCGGACUCCUACGGGAGGGAGCAGUGGGGAAUAUUGGACAAUGGGCGCAAGCCUGAUCCAGCAAUGCCGCGUGGGUGAAGAAGGUCUUCGGAUUGUAAAGCCCUUUCGGCGGGGACGAUGGUGACGGUACCCGCAGAAGAAGGCCCGGCUAACUUCGUG
rnacentral:rRNA from 1 species